rnacentral:rRNA from 1 species
UGAGUUUGAUCAUGGCUCAGAUUGAACGCUGGCGGCAGGCCUAACACAUGCAAGUCGAGCGGUAACAUUUCUAGCUUGCUAGAAGAUGACGAGCGGCGGACGGGUGAGUACAACUUGGGAAUCUGCCUGAUGGUGGGGGACAACCACUGGAAACGGUGGCUAAUACCGCAUAAUACCUACGGGUCAAAGUGUGGGACCUUCGGGCCACACGCCAUUAGAUGAGCCCAAGCAAGAUUAGGUAGUUGGUGAGGUAAAGGCUCACCAAGCCGACGAUCUUUAGCUGGUCUGAGAGGAUGAUCAGCCACACUGGGACUGAGACACGGCCCAGACUCCUACGGGAGGCAGCAGUGGGGAAUAUUGGACAAUGGGGGCAACCCUGAUCCAGCCAUGCCGCGUGUGUGAAGAAGGCCUUCGGGUUGUAAAGCACUUUCAGUGGUGAGGAAGGGUGUGUUGUUAAUAGCAAGCAUACAUUGACGUUAGCCACAGAAGAAGCACCGGCUAACUCCGUGCCAGCAGCCUGUCG